rfam:Clostridium paraputrificum strain 373-A1 CP373A1_19, whole genome shotgun sequence.
CUCUUAUCAAGAGAGGUGGAGGGAAAGGGCCCGAUGAAACCCGGCAACCUGUUAUAUUACAAGGUGCCAAUUCCUGUAGAUUUUUUAUCUACGAGAUGAGAG